rnacentral:rRNA from 1 species
UACGGAGGGGGCUAGCGUUGUUCGGAAUUACUGGGCGUAAAGCGUACGUAGGCGGCUUUGUAAGUUAGAGGUGAAAGCCCGGAGCUCAACUCCGGAAUUGCCUUUAAGACUGCAUCGCUUGAAUCAUGGAGAGGUUAGUGGAAUUCCGAGUGUAGAGGUGAAAUUCGUAGAUAUUCGGAAGAACACCAGUGGCGAAGGCGACUAACUGGACAUGUAUUGACGCUGAGGUACGAAAGCGUGGGGAGCGAACAGG